rnacentral:lncRNA from 1 species
GGGCGGGUUGGGUCGGUUUUUAUAGGUUAACCCACAACCUGACCUGACCCAACCCCCCUACAUAGCCAAAAAACUGAACCCACGUAAAAACAACAAAAAAAUCGACCCAACCCGGUCGGGUCGGGUCGGGCGGUUUGGACGGGUUGGAUCGGUUUUUGCCCACCCCUACUUGUAAGUAACUUUAUGGGAAAAUGACCAUGUCCUGAUCUUCUAAAGAUUGAAACAGAAUCUCUUUCUUCAAUAAUGUAUUGCUGUGUGUAUAUAGAAAGUACAUGGGGGAGACUAUGCAUGGGGAGACAUUCAUGAUUUAGCCUAUGUUUGGCUUAUGCUUAUAAAUACUCGAGUUACUUUUUAUUCGUAUAUUUCGAGAGAUUUACAAGUACUACAUACUUAUCAAUCACUUAUUUUAUCUAUUUAUAUUUAAACAGUUUAUAAACACUUCUUAAAGAUAUAUUUAAAGUAAUAUAUAAAAUGUUGAAUAGAUUAAGAUAUUGUUUUUGAAUUUAUUUAGAUAGGUGUUUGGCUUGGCUUGGCUUGGCUUGGCUGGAAGAGCUUUUAGAAGAAGUCAACCUAAGUUUCUACGAGAAGUAAAGCAAAAAAAAAGAAGUCCGACUUAAUAGUGUAUUUUAAUAUAAAAAUGUAGCAACAUGAUCCAAGUUCUUAAGCGAAAAUAAUUUCUUAAAACAAUGAUGAAGACAAUGAUUUAGCUGAUCGGAACUCUGUUAACCGUUUCACCAUUUAAAGAAACAAUUCAAAAUCUCGAAAAAUAAACAGAUAGAUUAGAAUGGUUGUGAAUAUGCAAAGAAGCAGAAACUUACACAGGACUUGAAUCCUCUUGAACGACUCGUUCAUUUAAUUGUUCAUGAACUUGGGGGCGAAGAAACUCCGGUUAGCUUGCUUUUGAAUGAUACUGAGCUCUAUAAAAGAGAUAUUUAUUGAAACAAUAUUCUUACCAAAUUUUUGCAGAGCCUAGGAAUUUACAGUACACGAUCGACCACCACGUAUAAAAGAGGGAUGGAUCACGGAUAGAUUAGAAAUAACGUUAGUG